rnacentral:rRNA from 1 species
GACGAACGCUGGCGGCGUGCUUAACACAUGCAAGUCGAGCGGUAAGGCCCUUUCGGGGUACGACGAGCGGCGAACGGGUGAGUAACACGUGGGUGACCUGCCCUCAGCUCUGGGAUAAGCCUGGGAAACCGGGUCUAAUACUGGAUAUGACUCCAUGACGCAUGUUGUGGGGUGGAAAGCCUUGUGCGGCUGAGGAUGGGCCCGCGGCCUAUCAGCUUGUUGGUGGGGUGAUGGCCUACCAAGGCGACGACGGGUAGCCGGCCUGAGAGGGCGACCGGCCACACUGGGACUGAGACACGGCCCAGACUCCUACGGGAGGCAGCAGUGGGGAAUUUUUCGCAAUGGGGGCAACCCUGACGAAGCAACGCCGCGUGGGGAU